rnacentral:rRNA from 1 species
GACGUAGGAGGCGAGCGUUGUCCGGAUUCAUUGGGCGUAAAGAGCGCGCAGGCGGCUUGGUAAGUCGGAUGUGAAAUCCCGAGGCUCAACCUCGGGUCUGCAUCCGAUACGGACCGGCUAGAGGUAGGUAGGGGAGAUCGGAAUUCCUGGUGUAGCGGUGAAAUGCGCAGAUAUCAGGAGGAACACCGGUGGCGAAGGCGGAUCUCUGGGCCUUACCUGACGCUCAGGCGCGAAAGCUAGGGGAGCGAACUGG